rnacentral:rRNA from 1 species
AACGAACGCUGGCGGCGCGCCUAAUACAUGCAAGUCGAGCGAGAAGACGUAGCAAUACGUUUGUAAAGCGGCGAACGGGUGAGGAAUACAUGGGUAACCUACCCUCGAGUGGGGAAGUAACUAGCCGAAGGUUAAGCUAAUACCGCGUACGCUCCUUGGACUUCGGUUCAGGGAGGAAAGACGAUACCGUGGGUAGUCGCGCUCUUGGAUGGGCGUCAUGUCCUAUCAGCUUGUUGGUGAGGAACGGCUCACCAAGGCUUCGACGGGUAGCUGGUCUGAGAGGACGAUCAGCCACACUGGCACUGCGACACGGGCCAGACUCCUACGGGAGGCAGCAGUAAGGAAUAUUGCGCAAUGGGCGAAAGCCUGACGCAGCGACGCCGCGUGGGGGAGUGAA